rnacentral:lncRNA from 1 species
UCCAUCGUAUAAUACGACAGGGCGUAUCUCUCUCGAUGUUCCCACGCCAUUUCCUCCGUUUGGCCCGGCGCUAGUUACGCACGCAACAGUCUCAACAUCGUCAGUCGCCAAAUUGGCUGCAGCAGUCACAUCGACAACAACGGCGGACGCCGAUGCUACAACUAUCUAGCUGGGUUUAUGUACGGGCAUCUGUCUGCACGUGUGUGUGCGUCAAUGAGGUGGGCAGAGGAACGCAGGGCAAUAGGCGACUGGAACAUCCACAGCAAAGGCGGUAGCAGCGGAGGCGGUGGUGAUGAUAGUACAUGUUAUCGAGCCGUUAGUCAAGCGACAGGUGCUGUUCGGAAGCUGCUACUCCAUGCACGACAGUGUCAUAGAGUCAUUGUUAAAUACCGUUGGUAAUCCACGAUAAGCGGCCUAGGGAAAGCGAUGGCUUACUGCAAUACCUUGCAGCUUCUGCUAGCAGCACUCGCCAUAAGUACCAUGAAUAGUAACAGCGAGAUGACACGGAAGGCGUCAAACUGGCGAUAGCGUCAAUGUCUAUAAGAGGGUAGCUGCCGAUCUGGGUGUUAACGCGUAAUUUAUAGAAGAGAUCACUCCAGGACUCCACCUUUCCUGUUUUUCAUUGAGGCGUUCUUUCUCGAACUCAGGAACGGUUACGUGUACCUCUGUUAUCGUAUUUCGGAUAGUGGAAUGCUACAGAUAGCGGAUCUGUUUAGAUUGAGUGGUACGGUGGUCACAGCAGUUAACCAAAGUAAGGCUGGCUGCCUAACAGAAGCUACAUUAGUGUAUAAUAGGAACAGCGGAGUAACGUUUGCACGAAAAAUCUAUGCGAACGAAUCUCUGCCAACCGUUGGCUCGCCGCUACAUGAUUUGAUUAAAAAAUUUCUCAUCAACAUUUUCACACUGGAGCUGCUGGGUUAACGCAAACGACAAGGACAAACAUGCGAAGGUUUGCAAAACAAUAUAAAGGACACGCAAGACUGGAUCAUAAUUUUGGUAGCCUUUCGCUGGACAUUAAAUCAUGAGUACCGUUCUUGGGGACUAGAAGUUUGCGGAGAAAAAAUAAGCCUGCCUGACUGACGACUUCGUGGCAGAUUAGCAAUGAAAUAUUUAGAAAAUACGACGCUUCUUCCUGAAUUGACUGUCGCAGCAGGUAACCAAAUCAACGAUUACUGCCUACCUUACCAACAGUGGCCUCUGGUAGGGACUUCUUACAAGCGGCUGGCGCCUCGGAAUCACCGAAACUGCGGUCUAACAUAUUUUGUUCUCUGUCGCUUCAUGGUGCUCUUCUCUGUUAUUCUCCAUUCGUCUUUUUCUUCACUCCUAGUCUUUUCGUUGUUCAUUAUUAUAAUUAUUAUGUCUGUCUAGGCUAAUCUGGUGGUUCAAAUCAUGGUAGCGGGGGUCGGCCAUCGCAGGUUGGCUAUUACGCUACUCAUGGUUGUACAGCCCAUACGAUCAGGACUACCUGACCACGUCGAAAGUGGCAGUCUGAACCUCUACAUCCAUUGAGCUCGUUCUACUAUGCAGCAAAACGCUCCACUCCAUUCGUUGAGUCCUUCGCUAAGUUCCACUCGAGCUCGAUUUGUCCCUCGAACCAGCAGCCAGUAUAUUUAGAAAUGGCCUGGGCCUUCUUCACAGGCCAAGCCUCAGCCAUGGCAGCGCACUCGAACUAAAUCUCGGUGACUGUUUUGUCUACUCCUUUGGUGCUUAACUGGCUGGCCCGCUGGUUUGCCAACAUCCGAAGUCUAUCCCGUCCCUUCCAAGUAAAGCGCCAGGACAGCUCAUCCUGUCUACUCUGGUGAAACAAUCACAUCACAUUGUAGUACCACAAUGGCUGGUACAAGCAGUGUUUCAGGGCUUGUUAGAACGGACGCUGCGUAGGCUGACAGCGUCUGGACCGCUAUCGCCGAUGAACUGCGUACGGGUUGUUACUCAUGAUUCCGCACUGCAGCUUGCGCCGCUAAUGUUCUUGAGCCGCGAGCGGACUCUUGAAGAAUUCUUUUUGCUUGGAUGGCUUACUAACCUCACCGAUGCCCCAGCUCACUCCCUGUGAUGCCGUCCUACUGUCAUGGUAACCGUGUCCCCGCCGGGUUGCGGUCUCCAUCAUGAAGCGCAAGGCUAAAAACCCCAGCGAGAUGAACCCCGCUAGAACCGAAACCGCAAACUUGUACUCUUUGCCUAUACUAUUAUUAUAGUAGGGUUGCUCGAAGGCUAUCGUAGGGGCCUUUUCCUUAUUGGCACAGCGAUGUGGUUUCAUCGGGCUGUUACUGUCACAACUGAUUUCAACAAAUUGAGAGUAGCUAGUCAACGACUAGCAAAUUUCAAGGGGAUAAGGGAGCGAAAAUCAUGACUAUUAGCUUGCUCAGCAAUUAAACUAAUAUAUCUCUGAAGAAAAGUAGUGGCAAAGACCAGUUUCAUGCUAUCGUGAAUAGAUAUACGCAUACGCAAGCUGAUAGUCGAAAUUUUUUCCAAAUUAAAUCAGAAUUAAAUACUAUCUCUGUUAGUUAUCAGAGUAAUAUUUAAGAGCAGGGAGAAAAGUUUACAGCAGUAGUAAUAUUGUUAUUCGAAGCUAUUCUAGGCUGUUUCCUGAUUUAUUAGGGUUCGUUUAGGGGAACCUGUUUUAAUUUAUUCCUAUUUUACAUAGGUAUAAAUGCAAAGUUUCUUGGUUCAUUGGAAAGAGUAUGUACCAUCCGUACUGAAACGCAGUGGUCCAUGAAAUGCGCAUCAAGAAUUGUGUUUUGAUAAAUAUCUGAAAAGACGAAGCGAAGUAUAAAUAGUACGAGAUCGGCAAGCACCUCCUGGCACGGUCUGUGUCGUUGUCCAGUAUUUAAAUUAAAGUAAACUUGCAGGAUAUAUAGUUAGUAUAUAAAACAAGCAUAUUUUCAUUAAGUAUAUAUAAUUCAUUGAAACGAAAAGUGCGUUUAUGCGCCCAGCUAUCGGUCACAAUCCCACGCUUUGUGGUAGCUUUAAUAACUAUAGUACAUUUGAUUAAAUUUGUAAAGUUUGCUUGAUAAAGUUAUAGAGAAGUUUGAUCGCUUCUCUCUCGAAUAACGGUGAUAUGGGGGCACAUCAGUUUGGUAAUGCCCACAGCGAACGUCCCCAAUUUAAUCGUUUUUUUAGAAUUUUACAUUUAAAAAUUUCCGUUUCAUGAAAUAUGGUAACGUGAAAAUAAUUCCUGAGACGUCAGGGAAAUAGUCAAAGUCGUAAACGGUGGACACUGAGUCUAGGAAACGCUUUUAAUUUGAAGUGUUCGCUUACUAACAUCACCUCUUCAUAAAGGCUAUUUAAGGUCUCUGUGUGAGCAGCUCAAAAAGGAUUUCGACAGUACUUGGCAAUGUUGGAAAUUUUUCUAACAAUACUCAAUUCUAGUUUUUAAAGAGUAGAAUGUACUUAUCAAGAAAGUUGAUCUGAAAAUACUCUUGUUAUUGUAAGUUUCAAUACAGAACUUUCCAUUUAGGAAGGAACUUAGGCGCAGGGUGGGCCACCCGAGGAGUUGUAAAUGAUGAUUCGCGCCCAUUUUCUAUCCAGUGCGACCUGCUGAUUAAUGGAGAUAGCUAGAGUGGUAAUUGAAACCGAUGUCAACUUCCGCGGUCUUCCAGCGUCUUUUCUUCACUAAGCCCUAUGUCUCGCUAUCAUUUUACUCGUCUCCUUCCCUUCCGUCUCUGCUCAGCUUGUUGUUCCUUUCUCCUAUGCUAAAGCGAAAACUAUUUCCUCUUGUCAAAUGGCGGUGCGUCCUUUCCCCAAGCGUUUGCAGCCUAGUUGCAUUGCUUGUCCACCUGUUACGGCAGUCUGUCGUCGAAACCAUCGGUGGCGGACGCGGCCAAACUGUCAAGCGUCGCAGGGCAGAAAAUGUGUGGUUAUGGGAUAUUAGAGGUUGAGUUGCAGGGGAAAUCUGUUAAACGUUGCUCGCUCAGCACCUAGGUCCGUCUGCUGCGUGCGAUCCGAGGGUGGCAAGUAGCAAUAGGGCCAACUCCAUUGAACUCUCUCCGUCCUAGAGAAAACGAAGGUAGUAGCCGUUGCUCUAAUACUUAUCAUUCUUCCAUUUAUAGUAGAAACUGCAUCAGUUGUCGAACGGACCAGUUGUUUCCUCUACUAUGGCACCCAUCUUUGCCUACACGCUAUUCCACUGAGUGGUUCCGCCUGGCGUGAGCAUAUGCAGUGCACUGGCAGCAGCAAAGUUACUACAUACGAACCUAUUACUAGCAGGAACAAGAAAAAUACUGCUAAUGGGCAGGUCUCCGUUACCACCAUCGUCCAUUACAUGGUGCGGUUACAAGGUUAUUUCCUCCACCCGUCACGUCAACUAGAAAGUCAGCCAAACAACCAGAAACAGAAUGCAUAACUCCGGAUAAGUGGUAACCAGAGCUGGCUUGAGGAAAAUUCCUCUUAUAUCUAUGCGUACUUAGAUAGACUGCAUGUGGAAUCACAAGCCACAGGCAAUGAUAGGCACUCUAAAUGUGCUCGUCUCUGUUGUCUCGUUGUGGUUCUCCUCUGGCCUCUGUGUUUGCUUCGACCUAUCCUGCAUCUGCAGGCUUGUCGACCAACGACGAGCUCUGUUCAUUGACGAGUCUAGUGCCCUAAUCGCUGCGACACCCUGCGGAUAGCGUCCUCAACACAAGCUGAUCGGCGAUGUGUGAGGUCGUGACUAAUGAAUGUGGUGUGUGUAUUGGUCUGCUUAUGUCUCAACGAAACAACGCGACUCGUGCUGUCCGCCAUUGACUAGCAGCUGGGCUGUUUUGUUGAGCUUCGUAUGACUGUGCCUGCAUUGAUCUGAACGCGCAUCCGAGACAACGUUGCCGCCGCUGCAGCGACCGUGUCGUCCUAAUCCUGGUCGCUGCCUCCUACGCGGCCUGGGCCAGUCUCAUUAGAAACGGCUGGGUGCGUUCGUCCGGCAGACUGGAAUGACGCUGGCGUCUGGAAGAGCUGCGAUCGCUAGCCGCUAGUUGCAGAUGAGGAGGUAUUUGCUACAAAGCCCUUGGAGACGUCGAUGGCUGGCGAAGACGAAUACUACUUGUGCGAUGCAACUGGCGCUCGGUGUCUUUUCUCCCACGGAAACAGUUUCUCCCAAAGACACCCACUGUGAUUUAGCCAGUUAGUCAGCGCUAAAAAUCGGUCUGAUGUAAGUUCGCGAUGCCUUCGACCACAAUGUCGUCGUCUUCUUCUUCUUUAACUUAAACUUAACUACACAAUUAUCUUUUGUAAUCAAAUUUGGAGGGAACUUUACGGCGUAACUUUCUCGAUAAUGCAACUGUGCUGUAUUAGAAUUAAUCUGAAAAUUUGUUAAAGAAAGACUUGAGACCAUUACGAUACGUAACAGAUAUACGUAUCUCUGCCAGACAACAAUAUAUAAUUACAACAAACCAAUACUAAUCAACGCGAUAAUCGUUGAGAGAGCAUGAAAAGACUCCCAUAAAAAUAUUAUAGGGUGACCAUUAAGGAGUA